UUUGGUUGAUGUUGUCAAACACAGGAAAACCUCAGACUACAGAAACGGGAUUUGAAGAUGUCCGUGAUCAUGGCCGUCCGUUGGGUUUGACCAACUCCCCUUUUUUCCAGUAAAAAACAUUCCGAGGAAAAAUAAAUUUGCGCGAAAUUCGGGAAAAUUCUGGUUCCGGCCGCGGGAUGAUUGGCGGCCACCCGCGCCUGCGCAGUGGGGGGAAGCUGGUGACCAAUGACGUCGUCUCCCCGCGCCUGCGCAGUGGGGGGAAGCUGGUGACCAAUGACGUCGUCUCACCGCGCCUGCGCAGUGGGGGGAAGCUGGUGACCAAUGACGUCGUCUCACCGCGCCUGCGCAGGGGGGGGGGGGCGGGAUCAGAUCGCCGCCAUUGUCAACGCAUCGCCUCGAUGAUCCGGGCCUAGUCUGGCCGGUGGUUCAUCCUGGGAACUGUUGGCCAUUUAAAGACUCCCAAUGCUUUGUUGUCAUCGAGCUUGCUGUCUGGAUCAGGCCUACAGCCUUUACCCUAGAGCACAUUCCAAAAUCCAUUUCUCCGAGUGGAUCAAUUAGUAGUGCCCCUCAAGACUUCUCUGUUUAUGGCUUGGAUGAUGAAAAUAAAGCCGAAGAUGUCCUAUUGGACAGUACACGUAUAAUGAGGAAGGGGAUUCAAUCCAGACGUUUGAGGUGCAGAAUAAAGAUGCUGCCGUUUACAAAUUCAUUGAACUGCGGGUGAAUAGCAAGUGGGGCCAUCCAGAAUAUACUUG